AUUGAACGCUGGCGGUAGGCCUAACACAUGCAAGUCGAACGCGAAAGUCCUUCGGGAUGAGUAGAGUGGCGGACGGGUGAGUAACGCGUAGGAAUCUAUCCUGUAGUGGGGGAUAACGCUUCGAAAGGAACGCUAAUACCGCAUACGCCCCAAGGGGGAAAGCGGGGGAUCUUCGGACCUCGUGCUAUAGGAGGAGCCUGCGUCGGAUUAGCUAGUUGGUGAGGUGAAGGCUCACCAAGGCGACGAUCCGUAGCUGGUCUGAGAGGAUAAUCAGCCACACCGGAACUGAGACACGGUCCGGACUCCUACGGGAGGCAGCAGUGGGGAAUAUUGCGCAAUGGGCGAAAGCCUGACGCAGCCAUACCGCGUGUGUGAAGAAGGCCUUCGGGUUGUAAAGCACUUUCAGUGGGGAGGAAAAGCUGGUGGCUAAUAUCCAUCGGCCGUGACGCUACCCACAGAAGAAGCACCGGCUAAUUCCGUGCCAGCCGCCGCCGUAAUAC
rnacentral:rRNA from 1 species